AGCAGCCGCGGUAAUUCCAGCUCCAAUAGCGUAUAUUAAAGUUGUUGCAGUUAAAAAGCUCGUAGUUGAAUUUCGGGGUUAGUAGGUCGGUCGUGCCUCGGUACGCACUGGUGACAUUGGUUUCUACCUUCUGAGGAACCUUGAUGUCAUUAAUUUGGUGUCUUGGGGAAUCAGGACUGUUACUUUGAAAAAAUUAGAGUGUUUAAAGCAGGCUCACGCUUGAAUACAUUAGCAUGGAAUAAUGAAAUAGGACGUUUGAUUCUAUUUUGUUGGUUUCUAGGAUCGACGUAAUGAUUAAUAGGGAUAGUUGGGGGCAUUAGUAUUCAAUUGUCAGAGGUGAAAUUCUUGGAUUUAUUGAAGACUAACUACUGCGAAAGCAUUUGCCAAGGAUGUUUUCAUUAAUCAAGAACGAAAGUUAGGGGAUCGAAGACGAUCAGAUACCGUCGUAGUCUUAACCAUAAACUAUGCCGACUAGGGAUCGGAUGAUGUUAAUUUUUUAAUGACUCAUUCGGCGCCUUAC
rnacentral:rRNA from 1 species